CAACUAUUAAACACUUGUUUUUUUAUAAUUGUAUUCAAUUGAAUACAAUUAUAAAAAACAAGUGUUUAAUGUUCA